CCGGGUGUGUGUCCGUGUGCGCGCCCUGAGCCGCACACAGCGGCUGCGGGCUGGAGGGCUCCGUCCUGUGUGUGCAGCCUGGGCUAUGGAAAUGUGAGACCUUGAAAUAAAACAUGAGAAGAUGAAGGGGUUGGACAAAUUCAGCUGGAGGAGAGAGACUGAGCUGCUGUCUAAAAAGCAGCCAGCGGAGGCUAAUGAGACCUUUGGGGCGUCUUGCGAGGAUCGCCUCCGCGUUACCUUCCCACCACCCGAGUCGCUCUAAGGGCAGCAUCGCCCGGAUAACACAUGUAGCUCGGAGCUUCUCCUCCUCUAACACCCCGUGGGUCGCCUUUCACCGGGGACAGGGACACACACACACACAGGCACAUCCGCACAAGCACAGAGUUGAUCCCUGCACCUCCAGGAAAAUAAAUAAAUAAAUAGCCACCACGCGAAACCUUCCCUCCACCUCUGCCCUUUUGCGAGAACACUCCUUCUAUCUAAAAGUUUCCGAAAGAAAAUAAAUACAAGUGACACAGUGGUGGGGGAAAGCUCAUUAGUUCGUUGUCCAAGUCUAAUAAAAGAACAGAAGUGCAAAUUAUAGAGUUCAGCUUCAACACACGCUCUGUCAACUAAAAUCAACCGAGUGCAGCCUUGAUUCAAAUAGCUGCGAAGUUGGUCCGCAAUUCAAAACCACCUUCCCCCUCCUCCCUUCCCCUUCCCACCUCCACCCUCCGCCCUGCCGCAGGGACAUUUGGUUGGAAAAAUAUUGUUCCAAGGAAGGUAAUGAUAAAGCUUAACAUUAGGAAGAGGAGUGCGCAAACUCAUUUCCCCAUCGGUAAUCCCAAUAAAAGGAGCGUGGUGCUUGGCAGGGAAGGGCUGGGACGGGGGCUGCGUGUGUGUGUGGAUGAGGUGGGGGGAGGAGGGACAGGACUCCUGAAAUAACAUCUUCUUUCCAGCAAGGUAGAAGAAGAAACGGCCCCUUUGUUUUGAUAAUUAGCUAAGCCCAAACUAGGAAAGCAGAUGUGUUUGCUUAGCUAAUCAUAAGACAAGUUUCUUUCAAAGAACUUCAUUGAGCGAUGGCAAUUCUGAAGGAAGGAGAAGGAUUUCAUUUUCCUCUCUCCCUUGCCUCCCACCCCUCUCUAUUUUUAUUAUUAUUUUUUUCCCCUAUACUUCUAAUAUGAUAGAAACGCUUCCGAUUACCUAGAUGGGAAGAAAGCAAACCCUCUUCAUCAUAACACCGGGCUCGCCCCCGGAGCAGCGCAGCCACCUCGGGCUCUCCCUGCUGCACGUUACCAGCCAGAUCUGUUGACAUUUUA